rnacentral:rRNA from 1 species
GUGUCAGCCGCCGCGGUAAUACGGAGGGCGCAAGCGUUGUUCGGAAUCAUUGGGCGUAAAGCGCGUGUAGGCGGCUUGGCAAGUCGGGUGUGAAAUCCCGGGGCUCAACCCCGGAACUGCAUUCGAAACUGCCUCGCUAGAGUCCCGGAGAGGAGGGCGGAAUUCCCGGUGUAGAGGUGAAAUUCGUAGAUAUCGGGAGGAACACCAGUGGCGAAGGCGGCCCUCUGGACGGUGACUGACGCUGAGAUGCGAAAGCGUGGGGAGCAAACAGGAUUAGAUACCCUGGUAGUCCACGCUGUAAACGUUGGGUGCUAGGUGUCGCGGGUAUUGACCCCUGCGGUGCCGACGCUAACGCAUUUAGCACCCCGCCUGGGGAGUACGGUCGCAAGGCUAAA